rnacentral:piRNA from 1 species
UCUAUAUCAGUGUGCACUCUGGAAAC